AGUGAACGCUGGCGGUAGGCCUAACACAUGCAAGUCGAACGGCAGCACAGUAAGAGCUUGCUCUUACGGGUGGCGAGUGGCGGACGGGUGAGGAACACAUCGGAAUCUACUUUUUCGUGGGGGAUAACGUAGGGAAACUUACGCUAAUACCGCAUACGACCUACGGGUGAAAGCAGGGGAUCUUCGGACCUUGCGCGAUUGAAUGAGCCGAUGUCGGAUUAGCUAGUUGGCGGGGUAAAGGCCCACCAAGGCGACGAUCCGUAGCUGGUCUGAGAGGAUGAUCAGCCACACUGGAACUGAGACACGGUCCAGACUCCUACGGGAGGCAGCAGUGGGGAAUAUUGGACAAAGGGCGCAAGCCUGAUCCAGCCAUACCGCGUGGGUGAAGAAGGCCUUCGGGUUGUAAAGCCCUUUUGUUGGGAAAGAAAAGCAGCAGGUUAAUACCCCGCUGUUCUGACGGUACCCAAAGAAUAAGCACCGGCUAACUUCGUG
rnacentral:rRNA from 1 species